UCUGGUUGAUCCUGCCCGACCCGACUGCUAUCAGAGUGGGACUAAGCCAUGCGAGUCAACGUAGCAAUGCGUGGCGAACGGCUCAGUAACACGUAGUCAACAUGCCCAGGGGACGUGGAUAACCUCGGGAAACUGAGAUUAAACCGCGAUAGGUCAAGAUUUCUGGAAUGGAUCGUGUCUUAAAUCUACAUGGCCCCUGGAUUGGACUGCGGCCGAUCAGGCUGUUGGUGAGGUAAUGGCCCACCAAACCUAUAACCGGUACGGGCUCUGAGAGGAGAAGCCCGGAGAUGGGCACUGAGACAAGGGCCCAGGCCCUAUGGGGCGCAGCAGGCGCGAAACCUCUGCAAUGGGCGAAAGCCUGACAGGGUUACUCUGAGUGAUUUCCGCUAAGGAGAUCUUUUGGCAGCUCUAAAAAUGGUGUAGAAUAAGGGGUGGGCAAGUCUGGUGUCAGCCGCCGCGGUAAUACCAGCACCCCGAGUGGUCGGGACGAUUAUUGGGCCUAAAGCAUCCGUAGCCGGUUCUGCAAGUCUUCCGUUAAAUCCAGCCGCUCAACGGAUGGGCUGCGGAAGAUACUAUAGGACUAGGAGGCGGGAGAGGCAAGCGGUACUCAGUGGGUAGGGGUAAAAUCCUUUGAUCCAUUGAAGACCACCAGUGGCGAAGGCGGCUUGCCAGAACGCGCUCGACGGUGAGGGAUGAAAGCUGGGGGAGCAAACCGGAUUAGAUACCCGGGUAGUCCCAGCUGUAAACGAUGCAGACUCGGUGAUGGGCCAGCCUUGUGCUAGCCCAGUGCCGCAGGGAAGCCGUUAAGUCUGCCGCCUGGGGAGUACGGUCGCAAGACUGAAACUUAAAGGAAUUGGCGGGGGAGCACCCACAGGGGUGAAGCCUGCGGUUUCAUUGGACUCAACGCCGGAGACUCUAGAGGAUCCCGGGUACGACUCA
rnacentral:rRNA from 1 species